rnacentral:rRNA from 1 species
AUUGAACGCUGGCGGCAGGCCUAACACAUGCAAGUCGGACGGUGGCACAGAGGAGCUUGCUCCUCGGGUGACGAGUGGCGGACGGGUGAGUAAUGUCUGGGGAUCUGCCCGAUAGAGGGGGAUAACCACUGGAAACGGUGGCUAAUACCGCAUAACGUCGCAAGACCAAAGAGGGGGACCUUCGGGCCUCUCACUAUCGGAUGAACCCAGAUGGGAUUAGCUAGUAGGCGGGGUAACGGCCCACCUAGGCGACGAACCCUAGCUGGUCUGAGAGGAUGACCAGCCAACCUGGAACUGAGACACGGUCCAGACUCCUACGGGAGGCAGCAGUGGGGAAUAUUGCACAAUGGGCGCAAGCCUGAUGCAGCCAUGCCGCGUGUAUGAAGAAGGCCUUCGGGUUGUAAAGUACUUUCAGCGGGGAGGAAGGCGAUGUGGUUAAUAACCGCGUCGAUUGACGUUACCCGCAGAAGAAGCACCGGCUAACUCCGUGCCAGCAGCCGCGGUAA